CCAGGGGGGUCUGUAGUGACGCCUCAAGCACUGAGAUGCAGUGCCUUAGACCGCUGCGCCACUCGGGAGCCCAUUCCAUAACCUUACUAUGCAAAGGAUCAAGGAACGUUGGCGUUAUUGUGGUAUUGAUGACAUCACAAAUGGCCAAAAACAUACACUACAGCACAGUAUAUCCUUUUUAUUGAACAGGAAAAAAAAAUACAAAGCUUCUUAUGCAGUCUUUACCUAUCGCAGUGCAAUAAUGCAUCUAUCACCUCUAUGUACUGUAUAUACAGUUACUGUAUGUUGUUUUAUGUACUGCUUUGUUUCAAAUGAAUGUACAGAUUGGCAGGUAGAGAGGUAGAAGAGAGAGACAGAGACAGAGUGUUGACUUUUGAGAAGGUUUUUGUAGGUUUAUAUGUUAACCAAUGGGACACAAUGUUACCAUUUCUAAUACUGAUAUGUCGACUGUCCGGCACCAACAACAAACUAACAAUGGCUGGGGACAUCAAAAUGACAACAAAUACAGCAUGUAGAAACCAAGGGUUGUUGUCAGUAAUGUUGUAGAGACAAACAUCUGUGUGUACCACAACGAUGACGAUCAAGGCAGCCAAUAGGAAAGAUUCAUAAAAAGAGGCAUUCCACAAGAGAUGGUUGAGAGAAUGUUGCAGUCAGACGUUAGGUUGGGAUCGAGGUUGGGAUCGAGGUUGGGAUCGGACGAUAGGAGUAGGUUUGUUAAAUGACCAAACUCUUGCUGAAGCAAGGCCUGUAUUCUGCAAACAAUACUCUAAAUGCACAUGCACAUUUCAGUUUGCUUUAGAUUUUGUACUUUAUUUUAUCAAGUUUCACUUGAUUUUGCACUUCUUUGAUUCAUUCCAUAUUCCUAUGGCUCACAGUAUUGGACUGACUUUGAUUGGCUGAAACAGGUGUCAUUCACACAGAAACCUCACGCUUCUCCAUAAUCGGCAUAGUAACAGUAAGACCGCCGCCACACACUAAAACGCAACACACUAUAAUAGCCUUUUUAUGUUAUACAGUAAAAACAAUUAUCAGUAAAUGUAACCGUUGCACUUCAACCCUCUGGAGGCGUUGUAUUUCAAGGCAAGGGGUCACCAAGGCCACCGACAUCAUUCCACAUCUCUCCCUCCGCCCCGUAGCGGAUCACAUGGAGGAUCACAAACAGAGCAGGACCACAGGAGUGGGUCUAUCCUUGUCCCCUAACACGUAUGGCUCUAUGGGACUGCUGCAUCAGCAGAUUACUGACUAGUCACAUGUGGGCUGUAUUCAUUAGACGCCAAAGGGAAAGAAAAGGGGCUGAAACAGGAAGGGACUACCUGAGCUUGUCCAAUAAUGAUUUAUUUUCCAUUGCACUGCAAUUUGCUACAGUGUGCCCUAAUGAAUAAGACCCUGAUGUGUUGAAUCUCUGACUGACAGGGACACCUGGUAUUACGGUGACUUGGCACAUUGGGUAAGCAGGAGUAACCUUCUCACUGUCACGGCUGCGUCUUAAAUAGCACCCUAUUCAGAGUAAACACAUUUAGCUGAUUGGUUUUCCUUGUGACAGCGAGGGUUGUUGUCAGAACAUUCACAACAAGAAAGGAUGAAAUGCAACACGUCCAAAUGGGAAAAAUCAACGCUAUAUCAACAACACAAUAAUAGAAAUAGGGUGGCAUUUCAGAUGCAGCCACUGUGGCUUUGUUUCAGCCUUGAGUAAACCCCCCCUCCCCUGUGAGACCCCCUCCCCCUGCUAAUCAACACAGGAUGGCUAUGUCCCAAUCCCAAGUGUUGAUUGUAAUUAGUUCUUAAUAGAAUGUAUUUUACCAAGAGGGGGAGAUUUCUUAGUUUGGGACACAGCCUAUAUUUGGUUCCGGUUUAUUGGUAAUACGACUAACAACCAAUGAUUUUGUGUAUCAACAAUAUGUCUCAUGUACCCCUCCUGCAUUCUGUGUUAUUUAAAUAACUGAACACAAAAAAAACGAAAUAAAAGCGAUGACAGUAAUUAUGUCAAUGUUG